AUUGAACGCUGGCGGCAUGCCUUACACAUGCAAGUCGAACGGCAGCGGGGGAGAAGCUUGCUUUUCCUGCCGGCGAGUGGCGAACGGGUGAGUAAUACAUCGGAACGUGCCCUGUAGUGGGGGAUAACUAGUCGAAAGAUUAGCUAAUACCGCAUACGACCUGAGGGUGAAAGUGGGGGACCGCAAGGCCUCAUGCUAUAGGAGCGGCCGAUGUCUGAUUAGCUAGUUGGUGGGGUAAAGGCCUACCAAGGCGACGAUCAGUAGCUGGUCUGAGAGGACGAUCAGCCACACUGGGACUGAGACACGGCCCAGACUCCUACGGGAGGCAGCAGUGGGGAAUUUUGGACAAUGGGCGAAAGCCUGAUCCAGCAAUGCCGCGUGUGUGAAGAAGGCCUUCGGGUUGUAGAGCACUUUUGUCGGGAAAGAAAUGGCUCUGGUUAAUACCUGGGGUCGAUGACGGUACCGGAAGAAUAAGGACCGGCUAACUACGUGCCAGCAGCCGCCGUAA
rnacentral:rRNA from 1 species